rnacentral:rRNA from 1 species
UACGGAGGGUGCGAGCGUUGUCCGGAAUCACUGGGCGUAAAGGGCGCGUAGGCGGCCUGAUAAGUAGGGGGUGAAAUCCUGCGGCUUAACCGCAGGGCUGCCUUCUAAACUGUCAGGCUGGAGCACAGUAGAGGCAGGUGGAAUUCCCGGUGUAGCGGUGGAAUGCGUAGAGAUGUGGAGGAACACCGAUGGCGAAGGCAGCCCCCUGGGUCAAGAUUGACGCUCAUGCACGAAAGCGUGGGGAGCAAACAGG